rnacentral:rRNA from 1 species
GACGAACGCUGGCGGCGUGCUUAACACAUGCAAGUCGAACGGAAAGGCCCUGCUUUUGUGGGGUGCUCGAGUGGCGAACGGGUGAGUAACACGUGAGUAACCUGCCCUUGACUUUGGGAUAACUUCAGGAAACUGGGGCUAAUACCGGAUAGGAGCUCCUGCUGCAUGGUGGGGGUUGGAAAGUUUCGGCGGUUGGGGAUGGACUCGCGGCUUAUCAGCUUGUUGGUGGGGUAGUGGCUUACCAAGGCUUUGACGGGUAGCCGGCCUGAGAGGGUGACCGGCAAAAUGGGGACUGAGAUACGGCCCAGACUCCUAGGGGGGGCAGCAGUGGGGAAUAUUGCAAAAUGGGCGGAAGCCUGAUGCAGCAACGCCGCGGGCGGGAUGGGGGCCUUGGGGUUGAAAACCGCUUUCCCCUGUGACGAAGCGGGAGUGACGGUAAUGGGUAAAGGAGCACCGGCUAACUACGU